CAAGUCGAGGGAGAAGCCUUCGGGCUGAAACCGGCGCACGGGUGCGUAACGCGUAUACAAUCUGCCUUUCACAUAGGGAUAGCCCGAAGAAAUUUGGAUUAAUACCUAAUGGUAUAUAAGAGCGGCAUCGUUUUUAUAUUAAAGCUACGGUGGUGAAAGAUGAGUAUGCGCUCUAUUAGCUAAUUGGAGAGGUAACGGCUCCCCAAGGCGACGAUAGAUAGGGGUUCUGAGAAGGAUGUCCCCCACACUGGUACUGAGAUACGGACCAGACUCCUACGGGAGGCAGCAGUGAGGAAUAUUGGACAAUGGUCGGAAGACUGAUCCAGCCAUGCCGCGUGCAGGAUGAAGGUCCUAUGGAUUGUAAACUGCUUUUGUAAGGGAAGAAUAAGAGCUACGUGUAGUUUGAUGACGGUACCUUACGAAUAAGCAUCGGCUAACUCCGUGCCAGCAGCCGCGGUAAUACGGAGGAUGCGAGCGUUAUCCGGAAUCAUUGGGUUUAAAGGGUCCGUAGGCGGGCUGAUAAGUCAGAGGUGAAAGCGCUUAGCUCAACUAAGCAACUGCCUUUGAAACUGUCAGUCUUGAAUGAUUGUGAAGUAGUUGGAAUGUGUAGUGUAGCGGUGAAAUGCUUAGAUAUUACACAGAACACCGAUAGCGAAGGCAUAUUACUAACAAUUUAUUGACGCUGAUGGACGAAAGCGUGGGGAGCGAACAGGAUUAGAUACCCUGGUAGUCCACGCUGUAAACGAUGGAUACUAGCUGUUUGGAGCAAUCUGAGUGGCUAAGCGAAAGUGAUAAGUAUCCC
rnacentral:rRNA from 1 species